UAAGUGCUGAUGUAGCAGCUCCUGCUGGCGCGACGCCUGUAGCUAUACUCCGCUAACAGUAGAGGAGAAGAUAGAACAAGACAGCCUGUGGGACACACCGUAGCGUCCAGAUGUACUCACAACCGCACAUCGUUGCAUCUGUUGUUCUGCACAAGAUAAACAAGCCAUAUUUUGCCCGUGGAUAGGGCUCACACAAGAACGAAGAAGAAGCACAGAAUGCCUGUAACACUUCUCUUCGAACAAAUCCUUAUCGUAUAGCAAAAUUACCCAAACAGCGAGGCACUAUCGGAGAACCAUGUCUACCCCGAUUACUAUUUGACCUUCCCUCAUACAAAUGCGUAGUUCGUCGUACAGCUUCCCAUGAGGCUUCAUUGCAAGCAGUCGUUCUUCUUACGCAUGGUAGUAUCUGCUUUGACAGAGGAAGGCUGUCUACAGCUGUCUCGUAAGUGCUUCGAACUGCAGCGUGCCAUUUCACACGCUUUCACCUGGACGUAAGAAGCUUUGUCACUGUACCAUGCAUUCAGCAGACUACGCCCUGUCUCCCACAAAAGUGUAAUGGUAACGAAAAAUUAGCGGGCAUAGAUGCUGGAAAAACAGGGAAAAGAAAAAGUUAAGGAGAAGAUAUUGUUCUGGAACUAUUCACGCUCAUUUGUGUUCCAUAACUCAUCGUCGGGUCCCCUUGGAUUUUGAAACGCUGCACGGAUUCCACGAUCAUAAUGAAUGGCAUCAUGCAGCCAUCUUCUAGGCCCUGACGAAGAUGCAUGGGUCCCCUGAAAGUCCAGGUCCCGACAACGGCAGAGUACGGACAAGUUGCGUAAAGGAGAAACUUGCAUCUGGUACAUCCAGUACGACGACCAGUAAUGGCAUUCCGCUGUAUUGUCACCGGUGCCAAAUGCUCGUUAGGACAGAGGUCGCGUACACAUCCGGGCCCCUUUCCUGGAUUCUCUGCGGGUCCAUGAUGUCGUUGUGCCUAAUUGGAUGCUGCUAUUGCCUCCUGCCCUGCAUACUUCCACCGUGCCUACUCAUCGAAGAAAUUCACGUGUGUCCAAGGUGUAAAAGGGUCCUAGCCGUAUUCGAGCAUGAAGAUAUAAUGUGACGUUCUAUGAAUUGUUUGCAUGUGACCUGACUUGAUCGUCCACGUAAAAUCGCUCGGGAGGAAGACGUCAUAUCGGAGGGCGCACCCCGUGAAAGACCUGCGGUAUAUCGCCUUUGAAGUCAUGCUCAAAAUUAGGGAUUCGAGAGCGAGCACUGUUCGACGUUUAAUAAACGCCAUUUGGUUCUGA